rnacentral:rRNA from 1 species
GACGAACGCUGGCGGCGUGCCUAAUACAUGCAAGUUGAGCGCUGAAGGUUGGUACUUGUACCUACUGGAUGAGCAGCGAACGGGUGAGUAACGCGUGGGGAAUCUGCCUUUGAGCGGGGGACAACAUUUGGAAACGAAUGCUAAUACCGCAUAAAAACUUUAAACACAAGUUUUAAGUUUGAAAGAUGCAAUUGCAUCACUCAAAGAUGGUCCCGCGUUGUAUUAGCUAGUUGGUGAGGUAAAGGCUCACCAAGGCGAUGAUACAUAGCCGACCUGAGAGGGUGAUCGGCCACAUUGGGACUGAGACACGGCCCAAACUCCUACGGGAGGCAGCAGGAGGGAAUCUUCGGCAAUGGACGAAAGGCUGACCGAGCAACGCCGCGGGAGUGAAGAAGGGUUUCGGAUCGUAAAAAUCUGUUGGUAGAGAAGAAAGUUGGUGAGAGUGGAAAGCGCAUCAAGUGACGGUAACUACCCAGAAAGGGACGGCUAACUACGUG